AAAGAGGGUGGCGUAAAACUUCUCGAGAUAUCUGAACCUCUUGGUUACGCGGCUGCUAAAAAACGGAAGAAGAUGCAAGAAAUGGAAGACGCAAAAAAGGCAACGGAGAAUGCCGGUCAACAGUCAACCUGCUGCUGGUGCUACUACUCCGACGCGGCUGGUUUAUCUAUGUUCUUGUUUUUUCUAAUAAACAUUAUAUAUACUGGUAUA